CGCCUUGCCAGCCCGCUCAGAAACUCAAAGGAAAUUGACGGGGGCCCGGCACAAGCGGUGGAGUAUGUGGUUUAAUUCGAUGCAACGCGAAGAACCUUACCUGGUCUUGACAUCCCGGAGACCCUUAGGAAACUAGGGGGUGCUUCCAUCUGGAAGAAUCUGGAGACAGGUGCUGCAUGGCUGUCGUCAGCUCGUGUCGUGAGAUGUUGGGUUAAGUCCCGCAACGAGCGCAACCCUUGCCUUUAGUUGCCAGCAGUUCGGCUGGGCACUCUAAAGGGACUGCCGGUGUUAAACCGGAGGAAGGUGGGGAUGACGUCAAGUCCUCAUGGCCUUUAUGACCAGGGCUACACACGUACUACAAUGGCCGAUACAAAGGGCAGCGACACUGCGAGGUGAAGCCAAUCCCGUAAAAUCGGUCUCAGUCCGGAUUGGAGUCUGCAACUCGACUCCAUGAAGUUGGAAUCGCUAGUAAUCGUGGAUCAGCAUGCCACGGUGAAUACGUUCCCGGGCCUU
rnacentral:rRNA from 1 species